rnacentral:rRNA from 1 species
GAGUUUGAUCGUGGCUCAGAUUGAACGCUAGCGGAAUGCUUUACACAUGCAAGUCGGGCGGCAGCGGGUCCUUCGGGAUGCCGGCGAGCGGCGAACGGGUGAGUAAUGUAUCGGAACGUACCCAUUAGUGGGGGAUAACUACGCGAAAGCGUGGCUAAUACCGCGUACGCCCCUUUGGCGACAUUGGGGGAAAGCAGGGGACCUUUCGGGGCCUUGCGCUAUUGGAGCGGCCGAUAUCGGAUUAGUUUGUUGGUGGGGUAAUGGCCUACCAAGGCGAUGAUCCGUAGCUGGUUUGAGAGGACGACCAGCCACACUGGGACUGAGACACGGCCCAGACUCCUACGGGAGGCAGCAGUGGGGAAUUUUGGACAAUGGGGGCAACCCUGAUCCAGCCAUUUCGCGUGUGCGAUGAAGGCCUUCGGGUUGUAAAGCACUUUUGGCGGGGAAGAAACGGCGGUCUCUAACAUAGACUGUUACUGACGGUACCCGCAGAAUAAGCACCGGCUAACUACGUGCCAGCAGCCGCGGUAAUACGUAGGGUGCGAGCGUUAAUCGGAAUUACUGGGCGUAAAGGGUGCGCAGGCGGUUUGUCAAGAAAGGUGUGAAAUCCCCGUGCUCAACAUGGGAACUGCACUUUUAACUGACAGGCUAGAGUGUGUCAGAGGGGGGUAGAAUUCCACGUGUAGCAGUGAAAUGCGUAGAGAUGUGGAGGAAUACCGAUGGCGAAGGCAGCCCCCUGGGAUAACACUGACGCUCAUGCACGAAAGCGUGGGGAGUAAACAGGAUUAGAUACCCUGGUAGUCCACACCCUAAACGAUGUCAACUAGCUGUUGGGGCUUUCGGGCCUUGGUAGCGCAGCUAACGCGCGAAGUUGACCGCCUGGGGACUACGGUCGCAAGACUAAAACUCAAAGGAAUUGACGGGGACCCGCACAAGCGGUGGAUGAUGUGGAUUAAUUCGAUGCAACGCGAAAAACCUUACCUACCCUUGACAUGUCUGGAAUCCCGAAGAGAU